GAGUUUGAUCAUGGCUCAGGAUGAACGCUGGCGGCGUGCCUAAUACAUGCAAGUCGAGCGAACGGACGAGAAGCUUGCUUCUCUGAUGUUAGCGGCGGACGGGUGAGUAACACGUGGAUAACCUACCUAUAAGACUGGGAUAACUUCGGGAAACCGGAGCUAAUACCGGAUAAUAUUUUGAACCGCAUGGUUCAAAAGUGAAAGACGGUCUUGCUGUCACUUAUAGAUGGAUCCGCGCUGCAUUAGCUAGUUGGUAAGGUAACGGCUUACCAAGGCAACGAUGCAUAGCGACCUGAGAGGGUGAUCGGCCACACUGGAACUGAGACACGGUCCAGACUCCUACGGGAGGCAGCAGUAGGGAAUCUUCCGCAAUGGGCGAAAGCCUGACGGAGCAACGCCGCGUGAGUGAUGAAGGUCUUCGGAUCGUAAAACUCUGUUAUUAGGGAGAACAUAUGUGUAAGUAACUGUGCACAUCUUGACGGUACCUAAUCAGAAAGCCACGGCUAACUACG
rnacentral:rRNA from 1 species